rnacentral:rRNA from 1 species
GACGAACGCUGGCGGCGUGCUUAACACAUGCAAGUCGAACGGAAAGGCCCUGCUUUUGUGGGGUGCUCGAGUGGCGAACGGGUGAGUAACACGUGAGUAACCUGCCCUUGACUUUGGGAUAACUUCAGGAAACUGGGGCUAAUACCGGAUAGGAGCUCCUGCUGCAUGGUGGGGGUUGGAAAGUUUCGGCGGUUGGGGAUGGACUCGCGGCUUAUCAGCUUGUUGGUGGGGUAGUGGCUUACCAAGGCUUUGACGGGUAGCCGGCCUGAGAGGGUGACCGGCCACAUUGGGACUGAGAUACGGCCCAGACUCCUACGGGAGGCAGCAGUGGGGAAUAUUGCACAAUGGGCGGAAGCCUGAUGCAGCAACGCCGCGUGCGGGAUGACGGCCUUCGGGUUGUAAACCGCUGUCGCCUGUGACGAAGCGUGAGUGACGGUAAUGGAUAAAGAAGCACCGGCUAACUACGUG